CACCCGUAGAGAACUCUCCCCACGAGCAUGCAAGGCAUCUUAACCAAAUCUAAAAAAAUGUAACUAAAAUAAUUCAGCUGAAAUAAAUGCAAUCUUAUUCCAUUGACUGACACAAAUUAUAAAGUCUCACAGUUCUCAAUACGCAGCGGAACAAUAAAGAUAGAACAUUGAUUUAAAUAAAACCUAA